rnacentral:misc_RNA from 1 species
AAUCCGAGAAUUUCACCUCUGACAGUUAAGUACGAAUGCCCCCGACUGUUCCUAUUUAUCAUUACUUCAGUUCCAAAAACCAACAAAAUAGAACCAAAGUCCUAUCCUAUUAUUCCAUGCUAAUAUAUUCAAGGCAUAUGCCUGCUUGAAGCACUCUAAUUUCCUCAAAGUAAAUGCCCUGGAGAUUAUGAACUACAAUCAAGUAGCACCAUAAACACCAAGAGACGCUUCGGCCAAACCUGGUUCCUACAGAAGCAGGACCGGUCGUCCUCGGCUGAAAUCCAACUACGAGCUUUUUAACCGCAACAACUUUAAUAUACGCUAUUGGAGCUGGAAUUACCGCUA